GAUGAACGCUGGCGGCGUGCCUAAUACAUGCAAGUCGAGCGAACGGACGAGAAGCUUGCUUCUCUGAUGUUAGCGGCGGACGGGUGAGUAACACGUGGAUAACCUACCUAUAAGACUGGGAUAACUUCGGGAAACCGGAGCUAAUACCGGAUAAUAUUUUGAACCGCAUGGUUCAAAAGUGAAAGACGGUCUUGCUGUCACUUAUAGAUGGAUCCGCGCUGCAUUAGCUAGUUGGUAAGGUAACGGCUUACCAAGGCAACGAUGCAUAGCCGACCUGAGAGUGUGAUCGGCCACACUGGAACUGAGACACGGUCCAGACUCCUACGGGAGGCAGCAGUAGGGAAUCUUCCGCAAUGGGCGAAAGCCUGACGGAGCAACGCCGCGUGAGUGAUGAAGGUCUUCGGAUCGUAAACCUCUGUUAUUAGGGAAGAACAUAUGUGUAAGUAACUGUGCACAUCUUGACGGUACCUAAUCAGAAAGCCACGGCUAACUACGUG
rnacentral:rRNA from 1 species